GUGUUAUUCCAUAAAUUCCUGUCGAUAUCCCAAGGGUUUCCUGUGCUUUUUCCAAGAUUUUAUGGAAAAUAUUCCAAGAUUUCCUGAAGAUAUUCCAUAAAUUCCUGUUGAUAUUCCAAGGUUUUCCUGUGCUUUUUCCAAGGUUUUAUGGAAAAUAUCCCAAGAUUUCGUGAGGAUAUUCCUUAAAUUCCUGUCGAUAUUCCAAGAUUUCCCUGUGUUAUUCCAUAAAUUCCUGUCAUUAUCCCAAGAUUUUGUGAAGAUAUUCCAUAAAUUCCUGUAGAUAUUCCCAGGUUUCCUGUGUUAUUCCAUAAAUUCCUGUCGAUAUCCCAAGGGUUUCCUGUGCUUUUUCCAAGGUUUUAUGGAAAAUAUCCCAAGGUUUUCUGAAAAUAUUCCAUAAAUUCCUGUCAAUAUUCCAAGGUUUUCUGUGAUAUUCCAUAAAUUCCUGUUGAUAUCCCAAGGGUUUCCUGUGUUAUUCCAUAAAUCCCUCUUGAUAUCCCAAAGUUUUCCUGUGCUUUUUCCACGAUUUUAUGGAAAAUAUUCCAAGAUUUUGUGAGGAUAUUCCAUAAAUCCCUGUCGAUAUCCCA